rnacentral:tRNA from 1 species
GGGGCGUUAGCUCAGUUGGUUAGAGCAACCGGCUCAUAACCGGUCGGUCCGGGGUUCGAGUCCCUGACGCCCCACCA